GUUCUACCUUGACGAAUUGUAGUUUAAAGAAGUGUUUUCUGUUAGAGGAGUAGCAAAAGUUCCUUGGAAUGGGACAUCAUAGAGGGUGAGAAUCCCGUAUUUGGUUAUUCUUUCUAGCUUUGUGAUACACUUUCAAAGAGUCGGAUUGUUUGGGAAUGCAGUCCAAAAUGAGUGGUAAAUUUCAUCUAAAGCUAAAUAUUGGCGAGAGACCGAUAGCGAACAAGUACCGUGAGGGAAAGAUGAAAAGAACUUUGAAAAGAGAGUUAAACAGUACGUGAAAUUGUCAAAAGGGAAGCGUUUGACACCAGUGUUGUUUUUCCGAAAAUCAAUUAAGAAGGGCUUGAUUUUGUGUUGUAUUGACCUUAUCAGCUUUCUUCACUCUUUUUCGAGUCUUUCUU
rnacentral:rRNA from 1 species